AGAGAGAGAGAGAGAGAGUUCCUUAACAAAGGGAGUGUUCCUUGACAAAGAAAAAAAAAUGUUGAAAGGGUUGUCAUUGUUGAAGUAAUUCUGUGAGAUUUCUUGUAAUCUGCCAUUGAUGAUUGGUAUUUUGAUGCUGGCAACCGAUAAUAUUCACCAUUCUUUGCAUGGCCCGGACUCGGAAGUAAAGUAGCGAUGCACUGCUUGACGACGAUGAUACUAUAGUCGACUAAAUUUCCAUUGCAAUUGCUAGCAGCUGAUCAUUUUAAUGUUUGUUUUGAUUAUGGAUUUUACAAUUUGGGACUACUGAGAUGCCAAAUUAAAAUAAACAGAUUUUAGGAAAAUAUAUCUGCAUUGUUUUUCUGUUAUCUGCUAUUCUGUGUUAGUUAAUCUCUUUCUCCCUCUCUCUCUUGUGCAUGCAUGCGAAAACUAUAUUCUUACAUUAUCAGCUUCUUGAAUCUUAAAGAAGUGAUUACAAAAGAAGUGAAGCCUGUUUAUUUUGUGAAAUCUGUUUAUUUUGUGCA
rnacentral:misc_RNA from 1 species